CACGUAGGGGACGAGCGUUGUCCGGAUUCAUUUGGGCGUAAAGCGCGCGUAGGUGGCCUCAUAAGUCCGCUGUGAAAGUCAAAGGCUCAACCUUUGAAAGCCGGUGGAUACUGUGAGGCUAGAGUACGGAAGAGGCGAGUGGAAUUCCUGGUGUAGCGGUGGAAUGCGCAGAUAUCAGGAGGAACACCAAUAGCGAAGGCAGCUCGCUGGGACGUUACUGACACUGAGGCGCGAAAGCGUGGGGAGCGAACAGG
rnacentral:rRNA from 1 species